CCUGGCACCGCGCUGACCGUCCGCCCGUGGAGCCGGCAGCGGAGGACGAGCGGCGGCACGACGAGGACCGGCACGACGACGACGACGACGAGGACGAGCGGAGCCUGCGGACGGCCCUCAAGAAGCUGCGGCUGGACGCGGCGCGGCGGCACGAGGACGAGGAGGAGCAGCAGCAGCAGCAGCAGGACGACGACGAGGACGAGGACGACGAGGACGAGGAGGAGCGCAGCCUGCGGACGGCCCUCCAGGAGCUGCGGGUGGACGCGGCGCGACCCCUCUGUGAAACAGCCUCGUGGACUUCUCCCACAUCCUAUUCUGAGGAGGCUCCCACCUAUGUCGAUGAUGUGACUGUUGAAGACCUGACAGGAUACCUGGAACACCACUUGUAUAUUCCAAAGAAAACGUCUGCCAUGGCAGCCUCACAGUAAGGAACUUCUUCCCAACACCUGGUCUAAACAUACACUCUCCCACUUCCACGCUUCUUCCUCUUCACGCAACCCAGGCUACGCUUGGCCUUCUGGGCAGCGAGCACACCUUGCCAGCUCGCGCUCAAUCUCUCAGCAGUCCACGCUCCCAAAUCCUUCUCCACGGGGCCGCUCUCCAGCCAUUCUCCACCCAACCCACGUCAGUGCUUGAGAUCACCCCGACCCAAAUGCAGGGCCUUGCUCUCGGCCUCGCUGAACUUCCUCACGGUGGCAUGGGCCCACCUCUAAGGCUCUCCACGUCCCUCUGGAUAGCAUCCCUUCCCUCUAACGCCUCACCUGCACCACUCAGCUCAGUAUCGCCUGCACACACGACGAGGGUGCACACGAUCCCACUCUCCCUGUCGCCUAUCAAGAUGUUCAAGGGCACCGCUCCCAUCACCACUCCCAGCACUGAGCCCUGAGGAACGCCGCUCGUCACCGCGCUCCACUUGGACACUGAGCCGCCGACUGCAGCUCCCUGAGUGCCACCAUCCAGCCACUUCCUUAUCCAGCCACUGCUCCACCCAUCACCCCCAG
ensembl:lncRNA